UACGGAGGGGGCUAGCGUUAUUCGGAAUUACUGGGCGUAAAGCGCACGUAGGCGGCUUUGUAAGUCAGAGGUGAAAGCCUGGAGCUCAACUCCAGAACUGCCUUUGAGACUGCAUCGCUUGAAUCCAGGAGAGGUGAGUGGAAUUCCGAGUGUAGAGGUGAAAUUCGUAGAUAUUCGGAAGAACACCAGUGGCGAAGGCGGCUUACUGGUCCGGUUCUGACGCUGAGGCGCGAAAGCGUGGGGAGCAAACAGG
rnacentral:rRNA from 1 species